rnacentral:rRNA from 1 species
UACGUAGGGUGCGAGCGUUGUCCGGAAUUACUGGGCGUAAAGAGCUCGUAGGUGGUUUGUCGCGUUGUUCGUGAAAACCGGGGGCUUAACCCUCGGCGUGCGGGCGAUACGGGCAGACUUGAGUACUGCAGGGGAGACUGGAAUUCCUGGUGUAGCGGUGGAAUGCGCAGAUAUCAGGAGGAACACCGGUGGCGAAGGCGGGAUCCUGGGCCAGUACUGACGCUGAGGAGCGAAAGCGUGGGGAGCAAACGGG